AAAUUGAAGAGUUUGAUCAUGGCUCAGAUUGAACGCUGGCGGCAGGCCUAACACAUGCAAGUCGAACGGUAACAGGAAACAGCUUGCUGUUUCGCUGACGAGUGGCGGACGGGUGAGUAAUGUCUGGGAAACUGCCUGAUGGAGGGGGAUAACUACUGGAAACGGUAGC
rnacentral:rRNA from 2 species